rnacentral:rRNA from 1 species
UGAUGGCGUGCCUAAUACAUGCAAGUCGAACGUUCUUAACGCACCGGAGCUUGCUCCACCGGGAAAAGAGGAGUGGCGAACGGGUGAGUAACACGUGGGUAACCUGCCCAUCAGAAGGGGAUAACACUUGGAAACAGGUGCUAAUACCGUAUAACAAUCGAAACCGCAUGGUUUCGUUUUGAAAGGCGCUUUACGGUGCCGCUGAUGGAUGGACCCGCGGUGCAUUAGCUAGUUGGUGAGGUAACGGCUCACCAAGGCCACGAUGCAUAGCCGACCUGAGAGGGUGAUCGGCCACAUUGGGACUGAGACACGGCCCAAACUCCUACGGGAGGCAGCAGUAGGGAAUCUUCGGCAAUGGACGAAAGUCUGACCGAGCAACGCCGCGUGAGUGAAGGAGGUUUUCGGAUCGUAAAACUCUGUUGUUAGAGAAGAACAAGGGUGAGAGUAACUGUUCACCCCUUGACGGUAUCUAACCAGAAAGCCACGGCUAACUACGUGCCAGCACGGGCGGUAAUACUUAGGUGGCAAGCGUUGUCCGGAUUUAUUGGGCGUAAAGCGAGCGCAGGCGGUUUCUUAAGUCUGAUGUGAAAGCCCCCGGCUCAACCGGGGAGGGUCAUUGGAAACUGGGAGACUUGAGUGCAGAAGAGGAGAGUGGAAUUCCAUGUGUAGCGGUGAAAUGCGUAGAUAUAUGGAGGAACACCAGUGGCGAAGGCGGCUCUCUGGUCUGUAACUGACGCUGAGGCUCGAAAGCGUGGGGAGCAAACAGGAUUAGAUAACCCUGGUAGUCCACGCCGUAAACGAUGAGUGCUAAGUGUUGGAGGGUUUGAGCCCUUCAGUGCUGCAGCUAACGCAUUAAGCACUCCGCCUGGGGAGUACGACCGCAAGGUUGAAACUCAAAGGAAUUGACGGGGGCCCGCACAAGCGGUGGAGCAUGUGGUAUAAUUCGAAGCAACGCGAAGAACCUUACCAGGUCUUGACAUCCUUUGACCACUCUAGAGAUAGAGCUUCCCCUUCGGGGGCAAAGUGACAGGUGGUGCAUGGUUGUCGUCAGCUCGUGUCGUGAGAUGUUGGGUUAAGUCCCGCAACGAGCGCAACCCUUAUUGUUAGUUGCCAUCAUUUAGUUGGGCACUCUAGCAAGACUGCCGGUGACAAACCGGAGGAAGGUGGGGAUGACGUCUUAUCAUCAUGCCCCUUAUGACCUGGGCUACACACGUGCUACAAUGGGAAGUACAACGUGUCGCGAAGUCGCGAGGCUAAGCUAAUCUCUUAAAGCUUCUCUCAGUUCGGAUUGUAGGCUGCAACUCGCCUACAUGAAGCCGGAAUCGCUAGUAAUCGCGGAUCAGCACGCCGCGGUGAAUACGUCCCGGGCCUUGUACAGACCGCACGUCACACCACGAGAGUUUGUAACACCCGAAGUCGGUGAGGUCC